rnacentral:rRNA from 1 species
GUGAACGCUAGCGGCGUGCCUUAAGCAUGCAAGUAGAACGGGUCUCGUAAGAGACAAGUUGCGAACGGCUGAGUAACACGUAGGAAUCUACCUUUAGGUGUGGAAUACCCCCGCGAAAGCGGGGCUAAUACCGCAUAGUCUCGAAAGAGUAAAGGGCUUAACUGCCCGCCAAAAGAUGAGCCUGCGGACCAUCAGUUUGUUGGUGGGGUAAUGGCCUACCAAGACGACGACGGUUAGGGGGUGUGAGAGCAUGGCCCCCCAGAAUGGGACUGAGACACGGCCCAUACACCUACGGGUGGCAGCAACUGGGAAUCGUGCACAAUGGACGAAAGUCUGAUGCCGCGACGCCGCGUGUGGGAUGAAGGCCUUAGGGUCGUAAACCACUUUUGCCUUAGUGGAUACACUAGGGAGAAUAAGCACCCGCUAACUACGU